rnacentral:rRNA from 1 species
GCGCACUCUUCGGAGUGAGCGGCGGACGGGUUAGUAACGCGUGGGAACAUACCUUUCGGUAAGGAAUAGCCACUGGAAACGGUGAGUAAUACCUUAUACGCCCUUCGGGGGAAAGAUUUAUCGCCGAGAGAUUGGCCCGCGUUAGAUUAGAUAGUUGGUGGGGUAAUGGCCUACCAAGUCUACGAUCUAUAGCUGGUUUUAGAGGAUGAUCAGCAACACUGGGACUGAGACACGGCCCAGACUCCUACGGGAGGCAGCAGUGGGGAAUCUUGGACAAUGGGCGCAAGCCUGAUCCAGCCAUGCCGCGUGAGUGAUGAAGGCCUUAGGGUCGUAAAGCUCUUUCGCCAGAGAUGAUAAUGACAGUAUCUGGUAAAGAAACCCCGGCUAACUCCGUGCCAGCAGCCGCGGUAAUACGGAGGGGGUUAGCGUUGUUCGGAAUUACUGGGCGUAAAGCGCACGUAGGCGGAUCAGAAAGUAUAGGGUGAAAUCCCAGGGCUCAACCCUGGAACUGCCUUGUAAACUCCUGAUCUUGAGUUCGAGAGAGGUAAGUGGAAUUCCGAGUGUAGAGGUGAAAUUCGUAGAUAUUUGGAGGAACACCAGUGGCGAAGGCGGCU